rnacentral:rRNA from 1 species
GGAGUUUGGUCCGUGUCUCAGUACCAAUGUGGGGGACCUUCCUCUCAGAACCCCUACUGAUCGUCGCCUUGGUGGGCCGUUACCCCGCCAACAAGCUAAUCAGACGCAUCCCCAUCAUAUACCGUGAACUUUAGUCCUAAUUAGAUGCCUGCAAAGGACACUAUCGGGGGUUAAUCGGUUUUCACCGGGCUAUACCCGAGUAUAUGGCAGGUUGGAUACGCGUUACUCACCCGUGCGCCGGUCGCCAUCAGAGUUUGCAAGCAAACUCCAUGAUGCCCCUCGACUUGCAUGUGUUAAGCCUGUAGCUAGCGUUCAUC